rnacentral:lncRNA from 1 species
GAUUAGGAGUACAUCGACUCCUAGAACUGUGAGUAAACUUAUUAUCAUCUUAAUUAUCUAGAGUAGUUUUAUACAAUUGUGUGAUUUUAUAGAAAAUGGGUUUAAAUGGUAAAUUGCUAUGUUUUAGGAGAAAUUGUGAUUUUAUAAAAUGAUUUUAUAAAUUUUCUGAAAAAUUGAAUAUUGGUUUUGAAAAUAGAGUAAUUAGAGACUGUCUGCUUGUGUUAUAAAUUAUGUUUUAAAUUAUAUGGCUUAUAGCAAUAUGUGAGCAUGAAUGGCAAAGUCGGUAUUUGUAUCAAAAUUAUAUAUACUAUGUAUUCAGCCUUGAGAGGCUAGAUUGCGAUAAAUUACCAUGUCAUGCAAAUAAGGAUUUUAUAAAUCAGGUGGUAGAUAAAAUAAUCUAUAAUCCCUACAAUGGAGGUUCUGUGGACCAGCCUAAGAGAGGGGGCACAGAAUCAGAUAUACCUUACCUCGAUCGGAGAGUCGUGUGAAGGGUGUCUCUAGAGGUAAAGAUUUGAGUGCACUUCACGUGGACCACCGCGUGAGAGUGAGACUCAGCCAACGCCAAGGCAUGGCUAGAAUUUCGAAUGUAAAGACAU